rnacentral:tRNA from 1 species
GGGCGGUUAGCUCAGUUGGUAGAGCGUCUCGCUUACACCGAGAAUGUCGGCGGUUCGAGCCCGUCACCGCCCA